CCUACGGGCGGCAGCAGUAGGGAAUAUUGCUCAAUGGGGGAAACCCUGAAGCAGCAACGCCGCGUGGAGGAUGAAGGUUUUAGGAUUGUAAACUCCUUUUGUUAGGGAAGAUUAUGACGGUAUCUAACGAAUAAGCCCCGGCUAACUCCGUGCCAGCAGCCGCGGUAAUACGGAGGGUGCAAGCGUUACUCGGAAUCACUGGGCGUAAAGAGUGUGUAGGCGGGGUAAUAAGUCAGAUGUGAAAUCCUGUAGCUUAACUACAGAACUGCAGUUGAAACUGUUACUCUUGAGUGUGUGUGAGGUAGGUGGAAUUCUUGGUGUAGGGGUAAAAUGCGUAGAGAUCAAGAGGAAUACUGAUUGCGAAGGCGACCUGCUGGAACAUUACUGACGCUGAUGCACGAAAGCGUGGGGAGCAAACAGGAUUAGAUACCCUUGUAGUC
rnacentral:rRNA from 1 species